rnacentral:rRNA from 1 species
UGCCAGCCGCCGCGGUAAUACGUAAGUCCCAAGCGUUACCCGGAAUUAUUGGGUGUAAAGGGUUCGUAGGUGGGCUUAUAAGUCAGGUAUGAAAGACCGGAGCUCAACUCCGAGUUUGUGCUUGAAACUGUAAGUCUAGAAUCAGGGAGAGGUAAGCGGAAUUCUUAGUGUAGGGGUGCAAUCCGUAGAUACUAAGAAGAACACCAAAAGCGAAGGCAGCUUACUGGAACUGUAUUGACACUGAGGAACGAAAGCGUGGGGAGCGAAGAGGAUUAGAUA